UUUCCAUCUCACAGUGCUCAAGACAACGACUAUUCAGGGACAGGCUCAAGGGUCUUUAAUGAGUCUGUCGGAUAGGAACAAAAGAUGUGCCUCGGCAUGUUCAUCCGCCUCUUACAUGAAGGUUCUGAUGAAGGGCUGACCCAAAGAAAAUUACCUUCUUAAUGACAUCUGGAAAAGAUUGAGGCCAAUUCUCUGUAUGCUCAAACUAUGUGAAUUGUUUUAUAUAUGCACAAUGAAGUUACAAGUGUA